CCUACGGGAGGCAGCAGUAAGGAAUAUUGGACAAUGGUGGCAACACUGAUCCAGCCAUGCCGCGUGCAGGAUGACGGUUCUAUGAAUUGUAAACUGCUUUUAUACGGGAAAAACCCUCAAGACGUGAUUUUGAGCUGAUUGUACCGUAAGAAUAAGGAUCGGCUAACUUCGUGCCAGCAGCCGCGGUAAGACGAAGGAUCCAAGCGUUAUCCGGAUUUAUUGGGUUUAAAGGGUGCGUAGGCGGACUCAUAAGUCAGUGGUGAAAUCCCAAAGCUUAACUUUGGAACUGCCAUUGAUACUGUAAGUCUUGAGUAUGUUUGAAGUGGGCGGAAUGUAUUGUGUAGCGGUGAAAUGCUUAGAUAUAAUACAGAACACCAAUUGCGAAGGCAGCUCACUAAACCAUAACUGACGCUGAGGCACGAAAGCAUGGGGAGCAAACAGGAUUAGAUACCCUGGUAGUCCAUGCCCUAAACGAUGAAUACUCGAUAUGUGCGAUAUACAGUACGUGUCUAAGCGAAAGNAUAUAUCACGNGGAGACGCGUCGCGAGAGUAGAACGUACGAAGAAGUUAGUACGGACGUUGAGACGAGCCGACGGACGACGACGACGGGGAGGGUAGGGAG
rnacentral:rRNA from 1 species